UUAGUUUGUUUUCAGAUCUGUCUCAUUCCUUUUUAAUAUUUUUCUAUGUAUUGUGGAACAGUUUAUUUCUUCGUUUCGGUAAAUUGUGUGUUGCCUGCUUUGUUUCCUUAUAUGGGAAAUGCUUUACCCUUUCUUCCUUUCAUCUAAUACCUUCUUCUUUGGGACAUAGAAAUUGACAGAAGAGAGUGAGCACACAGAGGCACUUGUAUAAGGCUAUACUUUUGCUUUUGCGUGCUCACUUCUCUUUCUGUCAGUUUCCAGUGCCGGAAUUUGAUCUUAAUUUCCUUUUGGUCACUUCUCGGCCUGUUUUGUUCCAUACUCUCUACUCUUGUCUUGUCUCGCUUAUCCCCCAUUUCCCUCUGUCUCUCUAUAAUUAUUGAUUAAUCACAUGUGAUCUUCCCUCUCCUCUGGGACUGGGACUAGUUAAUUUAGAAGCCAGCAAAAAUACUCUACUCUGGGAAUAUGGUCUACGUCUGACUGUCUCUUUUUUUUUUUUUGUUGUUGUUUCUAUUCAAAAUGUUUUAAUUUAUGUUUUAAAUUCAAUAAAUAGCAUCAACGCGUGACUUUCGAUGUUAUUGACUAUGCCUGAUCACUGUGCGGAUUUAACGGCAAGACUAUGAAUAGUAUGGGACCAUUCAUGUUAUUAAUUGCCUAUUAGUAGCUAUAGCUAGUAUGGUCCUCCAACUAACCCUCUUUCUUUUCUUUUUCUGGUUUGUUUCUUGUUAUUGUUUCUACUAUCUUCUUCGGUUUUUCUUUCUUUUUUUUAAUUCCUGCGCAUGCGAUCAUAGUCAGUACCCAGAAAUUCGUCCUGCUUGGAGCUUGCUUUCACCUGAAUCUAGCUUGCUUUCACCUGAAUCUAGCAGAAUCUGGUUGCUUUCACUGAUCACAAUUGCAAAUGGAGGUUUCUAUUUGUAAAUUCAACUAUAAACCCACACUUGAACAAUUGACGUGUUGCUUGUUUAGUGUCUGUGAUUAAUGGGUGUUGAUCUGCAGCUAGUUCUUGCCUCAAUUUAGGGGAAUCAAGGUUUUACCCAUUUUGCGGUGUAUUUACCUGCUCUUCUUUGCUUCCAUGGGGUGAUUUGAUGAUGUACCGUGAGUGCUGAAAAGAAGAAGGGCCCUGGGGGGGGGGGGGAGGGAACUAGGUUUUAGGUUUUGUGAUGAGUUUCCAUCAACAGUUUGUCUGGUUUUUCAUGUUCCUGUUGCAGAACAGGUUUAAUUUUUUAAAUCAUCUUAAAAACCCAUUUAAUCUUCGUUCAUUUGAAGUACAUGCAUCCGUCUGUUUUAUGAAUUGUUUCUUGCGUCAAUAUUUUUCAAGCUUAUCGCACUACAACUUCAAACUGUGUCCAGGCCUUUAUUAUUUCUUGUAUAUCCUAAAACAUCAGUUGGAUUGUAUCAAGGUAAAGAGUUGCAUGCAAUCAACAAUUCUCAAGCACUCUUUUAUUUUUAUUUUUUAUUUUUGUAUAACUAUAAGUGUUCUCAUGGUUUUUCAGGAAUCUAAUCUUGUUCUGGCCGGGUUGGUAUGCAGUGCAUGUAUUGAAUCGAAGAAAGGAAAUAUGUUUUGGUCCAUGUUUAGUAUCAUAUCUAGGCAUCUGCUGCUGUUUAACUUAAUCUGUCAGGGUUUAUUUUCCAUUGGCAAAGCCUUGCUCCAUCUCUUGUGAUUGAUAGAAAACGGAAGCCUUAAAUCAUUUCCCAGCUAUAUAUGUCUGCAUUACUAAGUACCCAAUGCGGACGACUGUGAAUGGAUGGGGUUCUCUCAUUUGGUUUUAUGGGGAUGUCACUAUCAUACACCAAACCUGAAAUGCUCAAAUCUGAUUUCAAGGCUUCAAAACAAUUUCAGGUAUGUGGGUGUGAUAGUUUCUAUUAGGCGCAAAACACUGAUCUUUGUGAUGGAUUCUCUUCUGCGACUUGCUUGAGAUCUAUCAAUUUGUACAAUGAAGAAUGGCGCCGUGGUGCUUUGAAGAUGAAAGAACUUGUCAGGAGCUGUUCCUGUUGUUCUAGUUUCAGACCAUCUUUUUGACUUAAUAGAUGUUUUAGAAAUGCCUGGACAAAUGCAUGUGCUUCAUGUUAGCUGUCUGUACUUGGUUGAGUGUGCUAUUAUGAAGAAGAAGAAGAAGAAACUGCAAUUUUUCUGUCUGGCUGCGUUCAUGUACUGUCGCAGGAGUGUCCAAGAAUGUUGUUGAAUACCAUGGAAGAGGUUAUACGCAAAGAAUAUGAGGAUAGUGGGAGCCAUAGCAUAUGAUUUGUACGACCCGUGGGACUCUAGCACAAGAGACGUCAAGUCCAUUAUUGCUUUCUCCAAUUCGAUCUUAUCUUCUUGGCCUUCUAGUAUAAUUAUUUUUAUAUUUACAGCCAAAGCAACCGUUAUUAUUCUACUCUUUUAUUUUAUGCAUAUAACUUGCUAGACAUAUAAGUUGCCAGCUUUUUCUGUUUUAACCCGUUUUCUUUAAAAAAAAAAAUUUGGUGUAAUAGAGACGGUUGAUCAGGGAGAAGGGUCAUCUGUAUGAAUCAUUUGUAAAAUGUUCCAUUUAAUUUAGCAUUAAUUGAGGGUUUUUUA